GCGCCUUUAGCUCAGCUGGUAGAGCAGUAGACUCUUAAUCUAUUUGUCCAGGGUUCGAAUCCCUGAAGGCGCA
rnacentral:tRNA from 18 species